UACAGAGGUCUCAAGCGUUGUUCGGAUUCAUUGGGCGUAAAGGGUGUGUAGGUGGCGCGCUAAGUCGGGUGUGAAAUUUCGGAGCUUAACUCCGAAACUGCAUUCGAUACUGGCGUGCUUGAGGACUGGAGAGGAGACUGGAAUUCAUGGUGUAGCGGUGAAAUGCGUAGAUAUCGUAAGGAAGACCAGUGGCGAAGGCGGGUCUCUGGACAGUUCCUGACGCUGAGGCACGAAGGUCAGGGGAGCAAACGGG
rnacentral:rRNA from 1 species